UACGUAGGGAGCAAGCGUUGUCCGGAAUCAUUGGGCGUAAAGCGCACGUAGGCGGCCCUGUAAGUCCGUUGUGAAAGUCAAAGGCUCAACCUUUGAAAGCCGAUGGAUACUGCAGGGCUAGAGUCCGGAAGAGGCGAGUGGAAUUCCUGGUGUAGCGGUGGAAUGCGCAGAUAUCAGGAGGAACACCGAUUGCGAAGGCAGCUCGCUGGGACGUAACUGACGCUGAGACGCGAAAGCGUGGGGAGCAAACAGG
rnacentral:rRNA from 1 species